UGGUGGAGUGAUUUGUCUGGUUAAUUCCGAUAACGAACGAGACCUUAACCUGCUAAAUAGUACGCCCAACAAUUGUUAGGCGGCACUUCUUAGAGGGACUGACUAUGUUUAAUAGUCGGAAGUUUGAGGCAAUAACA
rnacentral:rRNA from 1 species